rnacentral:rRNA from 1 species
UACUGAGGGGGCUAGCGUUGUUCGGAAUUACUGGGCGUAAAGCGCACGUAGGCGGACUGAUCAGUCAGGGGUGAAAUCCCGGGGCUCAACCCCGGAACUGCCUUUGAUACUGUCAGUCUGGAGGUCGAGAGAGGUGAGUGGAAUUCCGAGUGUAGAGGUGAAAUUCGUAGAUAUUCGGAGGAACACCAGUGGCGAAGGCGGCUCACUGGCUCGAUACUGACGCUGAGGUGCGAAAGCGUGGGGAGCAAACAGG